GAAACUUCCAGCAUGUGUGCAGGGUAGAACACCCGUACAAAAUGGCAACAACCCAGGGAGGAGCACGCAGGCUCCUUUUAAACACCGCCAGGGGAAUGUCGGGGUGGUAGGUCAUCUCAAACACAAUUGGUUCAGCAAGCAGCGGUUACAUUAGUAUACUCGUAAUUGGCUGAGGUUUUAUCUUUGGACCUAUUUGAGUGAGUUCCAAGGAGGUUGCAGGACUGUCCUUGAGACUUUGUGGGGCUGACUCAGGCCUUGUUCCUUCUCUCCUCCUCGUCCCUGUUGUCAGGGGUAUCUUGGUUAACAGCCCUUUAUUUAAGAAAUUGAAACUUAGACCCUGCUUGUGAAAUGGAGGAAGUUUAGACUUCUCAAAAUAGUAUCAGUUAUAGUUCAUUUUUUGCUCUUUUCUCAAAUAUCAAAAGGAAGGAAGUGGCCUGUGCGCUGUCACACACAUUUGCGGAGUUUUUAUUUCAUUUUUAUUUAUUUUAUAUGUAUACAUGUUAUGUCUGAAUGUCUAUCUGUGCAUCAUGUGUGUGCCUGAUGCUGGAGGAAGACAGAAGAGGUCAUCGGAUCCCCUGGAACAGGAAUUAUAGACAGUUGUGAGCCACCAUAGCUGGAGUAUAUCUCAUACCCCAGCGACAGAGCGCGUGCCUAGCCUGUGAGGCCUUGGGAUGUGACGCUCAGCACAGCAGGUAAGCAAUACAUACUGGAUAUUGCACUUGGGGAGACUGAGGCAAGGGAGCAAUAAGUUCCAGUCACAUAGUGAGUUCUAAGUUGGUGUAGACUACAUCCCAAGAUCUCACACAAAACCCUUAUCCGACGGUCCUUUGUCAUCAUGACAUCCUUGGGGUGGAGAUUUCGUUUUGUUUCCAGCUUUCUUCCCUAGAGAGAGUCAGAGAAGCUCUCUCUGAACUUUUAGCUGUCACAUUUUGUCACAGAGUUCAAUCCAAUUUACCACCUAACUGACAAAUUGACCAAAACUACCAAAAACAGCAGAGCAAGAAUGUUCAAUGUCUUCCUUUGUUUUUUCUGUCAUUACAUUGCAUGAUAAAAGGGAAUAUUAUAAGAAAAUUAAUUUCUGGGAGGCAUAUUGGGACAACUCACAAAGGAAAACUAAAAAGUCAAUUCUAGCUUCACGGUAUUCAGUAAACUCAGCUGGAAAGAAGAAAAGCUGAACUCCCUGUCUGCUUGACGGUCAAAGAUGAGCGGUUGAUACCUGAGUUUCAUGACAGGAUGCCCUGCCAUUUCCCUCUCCUGCGGCCCUGAAGUCAGCCAGAACCAGAUUAGAAACAUGCUUUAUUGUAAGUAAAUAGAGGGCUCCAAGGACUAUAAAUGUAAUCUCAAGCAGGUAAAAGAACGGGAAGGAAAGUUAAGCUAUCCUUGUGGAAAGGCGCAAG